rnacentral:tRNA from 1 species
GGGAAGGUGGCUCAGUGGUACAGUGCUUGCCUUGCAUGCAUGAGGCCCUAGGUUCAAUUCCUCAGCACCCCA